rnacentral:tRNA from 1 species
UCCCUGGAGGACUAGUGGUUAGGCCACAGCGCUCUCACUGCUGCGGCCCGGGUUCAGUUCCUGGCAAGGGAA